rnacentral:rRNA from 2 species
CUCUGGUAUUGAUUGGUGCUUGCAUCAUGAUUUACAUUUGAGUGAGUGGCGAACUGGUGAGUAACACGUGGGAAACCUGCCCAGAAGCGGGGGAUAACACCUGGAAACAGAUGCUAAUACCGCAUAACAACUUGGACCGCAUGGUCCGAGUUUGAAAGAUGGCUUCGGCUAUCACUUUUGGAUGGUCCCGCGGCGUAUUAGCUAGAUGGUGGGGUAACGGCUCACCAUGGCAAUGAUACGUAGCCGACCUGAGAGGGUAAUCGGCCACAUUGGGACUGAGACACGGCCCAAACUCCUACGGGAGGCAGCAGUAGGGAAUCUUCCACAAUGGACGAAAGUCUGAUGGAGCAACGCCGCGUGAGUGAAGAAGGGUUUCGGCUCGUAAAACUCUGUUGUUAAAGAAGAACAUAUCUGAGAGUAACUGUUCAGGUAUUGACGGUAUUUAACCAGAAAGCCACGGCUAACUACGUGCCAGCAGCCGCGGUAAUACGUAGGUGGCAAGCGUUGUCCGGAUUUAUUGGGCGUAAAGCGAGCGCAGGCGGUUUUUUAAGUCUGAUGUGAAAGCCUUCGGCUCAACCGAAGAAGUGCAUCGGAAACUGGGAAACUUGAGUGCAGAAGAGGACAGUGGAACUCCAUGUGUAGCGGUGAAAUGCGUAGAUAUAUGGAAGAACACCAGUGGCGAAGGCGGCUGUCUGGUCUGUAACUGACGCUGAGGCUCGAAAGUAUGGGUAGCAAACAGGAUUAGAUACCCUGGUAGUCCAUACCGUAAACGAUGAAUGCUAAGUGUUGGAGGGUUUCCGCCCUUCAGUGCUGCAGCUAACGCAUUAAGCAUUCCGCCUGGGGAGUACGGCCGCAAGGCUGAAACUCAAAGGAAUUGACGGGGGCCCGCACAAGCGGUGGAGCAUGUGGUUUAAUUCGAAGCUACGCGAAGAACCUUACCAGGUCUUGACAUACUAUGCAAAUCUAAGAGAUUAGACGUUCCCUUCGGGGACAUGGAUACAGGUGGUGCAUGGUUGUCGUCAGCUCGUGUCGUGAGAUGUUGGGUUAAGUCCCGCAACGAGCGCAACCCUUAUUAUCAGUUGCCAGCAUUAAGUUGGGCACUCUGGUGAGACUGCCGGUGACAAACCGGAGGAAGGUGGGGAUGACGUCAAAUCAUCAUGCCCCUUAUGACCUGGGCUACACACGUGCUACAAUGGAUGGUACAACGAGUUGCGAACUCGCGAGAGUAAGCUAAUCUCUUAAAGCCAUUCUCAGUUCGGAUUGUAGGCUGCAACUCGCCUACAUGAAGUCGGAAUCGCUAGUAAUCGCGGAUCAGCAUGCCGCGGUGAAUACGUUCCCGGGCCUUGUACACACCGCCCGUCACACCAUGAGAGUUUGUAACACCCAAAGUCGGUGGGGUAACCUUUUAGGAACCAGCCGCCUAAGGUGAC